UAUAUUUGAAGAAACAGAAAACACAUUUAAUCGAUAGCUGGCAGUGGUAUCACUGAGUGCGUGCAGUACUCAAUGAUGUCCAUCUCACGCCUUAUCAUUUAUCUCCUCCUUAUCGCCGCCGCUGCAACCACCGUCUCCGCCACCGAUCACAUUGUAGGCGCCAACCGUGGUUGGAAUCCUGGCAUCAACUACACUCUCUGGGCCAACAAUCAUACUUUCUAUGUUGGAGACUUCAUCUCAUUUAGGUACCAGAAGACGCAGUACAAUGUGAUUGAGGUGAACAAAACCGGUUACGACAACUGCACUCUCGACGGCGCCAUAGGGAACUGGAGCAGUGGAAAGGAUUUCAUUCUUCUCAACGAAUCGCAGCGCUACUACUUCAUCUGCGGUACCGGCGGUUGUUUUAACGGUAUGAAAGUCACGAUUCGUGUCCUUCCGCUUCCUUCUCCUCCCUCUUCCACGGUGGCUGCUUCCAAUCACUCCUCCGCUUCCACCGCUGUCUGUAGAUCCAUCUUCGGCGUAUUCUUUAUGGUUCUCGCCUCAUUGUUUUAGUGUGGAUUUGGCGCGAUGCAUUAUACUUCUAAAUUGUUUGAAAGCCGUAUUGAAAAUUCUGCAAUCAGUAAGACUUGUUGGAGGGUUAGAGCCUUUUCUGAGGAAAACUUUUGGAUUAAAACAACAAAACAAAAUUAGAAUCUACAUAUCCACCGCCAUAAUCUCGUUACUAUUAGUUUGCAUUCAAAUCUCUAUCUCUUGGACUUUCCUCUACAAAAUUCAGCCACAACCCUUGGAUAUCGCAUGAAGCUCGCAAAUACUAUAUAUACUCUGUUUCAUCUAUGUUUUCUAGUGCAAUUGUCAAACCUUUGCUUAGAUUGUUCCAAUCACAGAACUUGGCUAUGCCAUUACUCAUAAGAUCUUCACUCAUUUUUAUAUUUCUUUCUCCAUGUUUGUUGGGGUUUAAUCUUCAAGUUAAAGAUAUGAUUAUUCGUUUGUUACA